GAAAUGCGAUAAGUAAUGUGAAUUGCAGAAUUCAGUGAAUCAUCGAAUCUUUGAACGCACAUUGCGCCCUUUGGUAUUCCGAAGGGCAUGCCUGUUCGAGCGUCAUUUCACCACUCAAGCCUGGCUUGGUAUUGGGCGUCGCGGUGUUUCCGCGCGCCUUAAAGUCUUCCGGCUGAGCUGUCCGUCUCUAAGCGUUGUGGAUUUUUCAAUUCGCUUCGGAGUGCGGGCGGCCGCGGCCGUUAAAUCUUUAUUCAAAGGUUGACCUCGGAUCAGGUAGGGAUACCCGCUGAACUUAA
rnacentral:misc_RNA from 1 species